rnacentral:rRNA from 1 species
GCGAAAGCCUGAUCCAGCAAUGCCGCGUGUGUGAAGAAGGCCUGCGGGUUGUAAGCACUUUCAGCGGGGAAGAAAAACCCGGGGCGAAUACCUCCGGGCUUUGACAUGAACCGCAGAAGAAGCACCGGCUAACUCCGUGCCAGCAGCCGCGGUAAUACGGAGGGUGCGAGCGUUAAUCGGAAUUACUGGGCGUAAAGCGCACGUAGGAGGCCGAAUCAGUCAGGUGUGAAAUCCCCGGGCUUAACCUGGGAACCGCAUCUGAUACUGUCCGGCUGAGUUUGGCAGAGGAAAGCGGAAUUCGGGUGUAGCGGUGGAAUCGUAGAUAUCGGAAGAACACCAGUGGCGAAGGCGGCUUUCUGGGCCAGAACUGACUCUGAGGUGCGAAAGCGUGGGGAGCGAACAGGAUUAGAUACCCUGGUAGCCCACGCCGUAAACGAUGUCAACCAGCCGUUGGGCCCGUUUGAGGAUCAAGUG